GUGCAGCAGCCGCGGUAAUACCGGCAGCCCGAGUGAUGGCCGAUAUUAUUGGGCCUAAAGCGUUCGUAGCCGGCCAGACAAGUCUGUUGGGAAAUCCACGCGCUCAACGCGUGGGCGUCCAGCGGAAACUGUCUGGCUUGGGGCCGGAGGACUCGAGGGGUACGUCCGGGGUAGGAGUGAAAUCCCAUAAUCCCGCACGGACCACCGAUGGCGAAAGCACUUCGAGAAAACGGAUCCGACAGUGAGGGACGAAAGCCAGGGUCUCCAACCGGAUUAGAAACCCCUGUAGUCC
rnacentral:rRNA from 1 species